rnacentral:lncRNA from 1 species
AAGCAGAGGGGACGAUGAGGUGCGGAGGCGUUGGCAGGUACCUGGGCCCCGCCGCCCGGGUGUGUGGGGGUCGGGUCGGGGGUCCAGCAAAGCCCCAUCCAGUCGAGCCUGGGCAAGCUGAGAGGCUGUCGGGUGCGCUCCAGUUACGCUCCCCUGCGUCGUGGAAAACCUAGAGAGCCCUACAGCGUCAGGGCUAAUCCCGGGACGCCUCGAGGCCCCGCGGAGUUUUCGCGAACGCGCCGGGCGGUGCAGGGAUGUCCUGCUUGGGAGAGUGCAGGGUUGGAAGCGGGCACGCCCUGUUGGCAGCUGCCGGCGCUUGUGUACGUGGCUGCUGACGUGGAGAACUGUAGCUGUGGAAAGCCUGCGCCCCAAGGAGGGACGCGGGGGUGCAGUCGCGGCCCAUUAUCUGUGCCCGGGAAGUCCUGAAGGCUCUAGGAGCUGUCAGAUUAAACCCCCAGACCCACAAGAAAAUCCCUGAAGCUUCGUUGACUUUUGCUGAUGGAGCCUCUCUGAAGGGCAAAUUCAAAGUACAGCUGGGUGCUGCAGCACUGGAGUGCGAACUUGUGGCUGUGGUUAUGAAGGAGCCUCGUCAGCUAUGCCUUUAGCCCCUGGUGAAGCAGUGCCAGUCACACUUUGCCAGUCAAACGGAGAGGCAGCAGUAGUAAGACCAGACCAAAUCAAACCAAACCAAGCAAACCACGGGGAAUGGAGGUCAUGUGAGCACACAGCAUAAAGGCAGCUGCCCACAAGCCAGGAAGAGAAGCAUCAUCAGAAACCGACCAUACUGGCUUCCUGAUCUCAGACUUUCAGCCUCCAGAAUGAGAUGGGGGUGUGAAAGGAAAUGAAAUCUUGGGACCCUAAACUCAUUAAGCCAAAGGGAAAAGCUGGGCCGAGAACUGGAUGAUGCAACCUGCUUCCACCUUUUUGCUUCCUAAAUAAGAUGGCUACAAGAUGAAAAGCUAUACAUCUCUGCCAUAUUUUGCCCACAAGGAAAUUCCUAGUGAGCUUCAAGAUCUUUUAAGGUGUUUCUGUUAAAAUUUCACAAUUUCGCCAUUGCAAUGUAAAUUUAUAGCUUAUCCUUACAGGUGCAGUCAUCUCCCUGCCCACCAGACACAAAGGCAUAUCUGAUUGUUCUCCUGCCCCAUUUUGUCUAUGUUAUCUUAUGUAAAAUACAGAUACCCUGCAUUUUUCCUCUGCCCCAUUUGUCUAUAUCACCUUAUAUAAAAAAAUGCAGAGUCACUGAGCCGGACAAAGGCAUGAACGACUAUUUUUCCCUACCCCCGCUCUUACAUGAAAAUUGUGUACUUCUGAAUAUCCUGCCCUUUCCCCUUUAAAUUUGGAGCCCUCAGAAUCAUCUUCAGAGAAAGGCAUAGACCUGUCUCCCGGGCAUACAUCCUUAACUGUGGCAAAUAAACCUCCUAAAAUGAUUGAGACUUGUCUCGUCAUUUUUCUCGAUUGAUAUUGGUCUCACUAUGUUGCUCAAGCUGGUCUCAAACUCCUGGGCUCAAGUGAUCCUCCCACCUCAGCCUUUCAAAGUGCUGUGAUUACAGGUGUGAGCCACUGCACACGGCCAGGAGAUGUUAAUCAAAGGGUUUACAUGCUGUAAAGGCGAUGUAUAAAGAGUUAUAGGGAUCUUUCGUUUGCUUUUCCUCAUAUUUGUUGAGAACUGUGUAGGAAUUUCCCAUGGAUUUGAUAUUUGCCCAUUAACAGACACCAAGAGAAGUAGUCAGAAAACAUUCCCUAAAAUAAAGUGUGAGCCAACUCAGUGGUCUUCUUUGGAAGAGACCUGAGGGGAGGGAAGGUCACGUAGUGAUAAGCAGGGAUGCAGACUAUGGGGUCUGACUCAUGAACUUCAUAUGUCACAGUUAAUAGUCAGAAGACCAUGGAAGGUCACAUCCAGGCACAGGGACCUGGUGAGGCGUGUGUGUAUGUAUCUACAACACAGAAAUUAAGAUGCGCCAAAGAGAGCAAGUGACAGGGCUCUCUCCCUAUUUCUCACUUGGCAUAUGAGAUGACCUUCAGGAGCUUCUGUUCUGUAUGUCCCAUUUAUUAGACCAAAGUGUUCUAGAGUUUAAUGUGCUAAUAUUCAUAAGCUUUGUUAAUUACAACAUUAUCAUCUCUGCUGUCAUCAUCUUCAUCAGCCUCAGCCAGGGAAGACCGAAUGUCCUUGGCCAACGAGGCCUGCAAAAAUAUGAAUUUUACCUCAGGCUCGCCUAGUUUUUAAAAAAUAAAUAUUGCUGAUAAUGAUUUACUGGCAUUCAUAGAUGAGAUGACAAACUGCUCAUCAGGCCCCCACUAAUGCAAGGACGCAAUGGCCAAAUGACCAAAUACUGGGCUGUUGCUUACAGGACAAGCUGGAUAUGCUUACUUCCACUCUAACCACAGCUGGGCUACUGUGGUUUGCUCAUUCAUUCAUUCCUUCAUUGAGG